rnacentral:tRNA from 1 species
GGGAAUGUGGCUCAGUGGUAGAGUGCUUGCCUAGCAUGUGUGAAUCCUAGGUUCAAUUCCUCAGUACCA